rnacentral:rRNA from 1 species
UACGUAGGGAGCAAGCGUUGUCCGGAAUUACUGGGCGUAAAGAGCUCGUAGGUGGUUUGUCGCGUUGUUCGUGAAAACUCACAGCUCAACUGUGGGCGUGCGGGCGAUACGGGCAGACUGGAGUACUGCAGGGGAGACUGGAAUUCCUGGUGUAGCGGUGGAAUGCGCAGAUAUCAGGAGGAACACCGGUGGCGAAGGCGGGUCUCUGGGCAGUAACUGACGCUGAGGAGCGAAAGCGUGGGGAGCGAACAGG